rnacentral:rRNA from 1 species
CCUACGGGAGGCAGCAGUGAGGAAUAUUGGACAAUGGGUGCAAGCCUGAUCCAGCCAUCCCGCGUGAAGGACGACGGCCCUAUGGGUUGUAAACUUCUUUUGUAUAGGGAUAAACCUAGAUACGUGUAUCUAGCUGAAGGUACUAUACGAAUAAGCACCGGCUAACUCCGUGCCAGCAGCCGCGGUAAU